AAAGCCCUUAGAGACGAAGCUAAUUUCUGAAACCUCAUCUGUUUGCCAAGCGGAACAAGUUGCCAGAGUUAUAGUCAAAGAUGCCAUACAAGGGAACUUCAACAGCUCGGUUGGAUCAGAUGGUUACAUGCUAUCGAUAUUGACAAGUGGAAUGUCACCAGUCACUUCUAUCACUGAAGGUCUUCAGCAGGUUGUUUGCAUGGGCAUUUUUCGCAUCAUUGGCCUAUUUUACCUAGGAAGUUUUGACAGCAUAGUUCGUCGCUGCAUGAUGCAAAGGGAAAAAUCUGAAAGUGCAGAUAAAACUGAGUAAUCUUUACUUUGAAUUGAAAGAAGAAGGUCAAACAGUCCUGGACAGCUUGCUGCUUAAGUGGGACUCAGUUUUUCUCCUGAAGGAUUUAGACUGGAAGUACUUGCAUAUGUGACAGACGAGUCCUCUCAAAAGCUAUGAAAGAAAACAAGUACAACUCCAGAAAAUGCCAAACUAUGCAAAAGUGUGAAUGAGGAUUAGAUUUUUUUUUUUUUGGUGAUUUGAGUUGGAGAGAAUUUGGGGAACUUGUAAGUGAUCUGCAGAGUAGAAUUUGAGAGUGGAUUAUGUGCGGUAAUUCUGGACAAAUGCUUAAGUUUUCACACUUUGGUGCUUAUGGACAAAAUAAGUACCAUGGCAGACUGGGCUGAAGUAGAUCGAAGUCCCCUGAAUAAGU